GAGACUUUUAUAACAACAAGGGUGAAAUCUGUACUCAAGUUAAAUUUCUUGUUUAAAGCAUCUUUUAGGUAGUUAAACGACUAGGAUUAGAUACCCUAUUAGUCUAUCCUUAAUUAACCUGGGUAGUAAUAUUAAAACCUAAAGAAUUUGGCGGUUUCUAAACUUACUAGAGGAACCUGUCCCGUAAACGACAAUCCACGAAAAAAUCAACCCAAACUUGUUAUCCAGCUUAUAUACCGUCGUUUAGGGGAUUAAACAAAUAGAUCUCCUUAAGAGCUUAGGCUAAUAAAUCAGAUCAAGGUGUAGCUUAUGUUUGGGUGAGGAUGGGUUACAAUGAAAAUUCAUACGGAACCUUUAUAUUACUGUAAAGGAGAAGGUGGAUUUAGAAGUAAGACCUAACACACUGAAGAAAGCCCUGAGAAAUGUACACAUCGCCCGUCGCUCUCUUGUCCGAAGAGAUAAGUCGUAACAAAGUAGGUGUAUCGGAAGGUUCAUCUUGAAA
rnacentral:rRNA from 1 species